rnacentral:rRNA from 1 species
GUGGGGAAUAUUGGACAAUGGGCGCAAGCCUGAUCCAGCCAUGCCGCGUGAGUGAAGAAGGCCUUCGGGUUGUAAAGCUCUUUCAGCGGGGACGAUGAUGACGGUACCCGCAGAAGAAGCCCCGGCUAACUUCGUGCCAGCAGCCGCGGUAAUACGAAGGGGGCUAGCGUUGUUCGGAAUUACUGGGCGUAAAGCGCGCGUAGGCGGCUUUGUCAGUCAGAGGUGAAAUCCCGGAGCUUAACUUCGGAACUGCCUUUGAUACUGCAGAGCUUGAGUCCGUGAGAGGAUGGUGGAAUACCCAGUGUAGAGGUGAAAUUCGUAGAUAUUGGGUGGAACACCGGUGGCGAAGGCGGCCAUCUGGCACGGUACUGACGCUGAGGUGCGAAAGCGUGGGGAGCAAACAGG